AUGUAAAUGUUUAUUUAAGACCUUCUCAAAUGUCAGCAACCUCAAACCCCUCUUUCUGGCUCACAUUUUUGCCCGCAGCAAUGUCAAAAGAAAAGAAGAAGAGCAACAAACAACUCACCUCACCCAACCACAACCCAAAUCUAUCGUCAGAUCUACCCCAACAACUUCUCUAUCAACUAGAAAGAAAACCCUCAUUAAUGCAAGAAAUUUAUUCUAAGGGAGCAACAAAGUCAUGGAUAACAGAACCAGGCAAGUGCAGUAAAUCAUCAAAUGCAACCCUACCAUGGCUUGAAGUCUCUACUGAUAAUGAAAAUAGCCAAAACCGACCUCACACCUUCAAUAUAUCGUUUAGAAGCGGAUCCUAUUCGUAUCGGAGUCCACAGUGUAGCCCUGUAAUAGAAGACUACCAUUUUCUUGGAUGUUCUUAUGGUUUAUUAAUCUCUAAAGGAGAUUUAGAUUAUAAAUUAUGGGAUCCAAUUGAUAAUGGAUGGUGGCAUCUUCCUUUAUGGGAUAAUAGAAUUCCAUUUCUAUGCACUGCUUUAUCUUCUAUGCCGAUGAUGGAAAAUAAAAAGAAUAAAAGUACUUUGAUUGUAUUAACAGUAUUUCUAAUCAAGGUUUUGAUUAUUUUAGAAUAUGGGAAGGUGGAGAUUGGAUUAAAUAAGAUAGCAAUAUUGUGGAUCCAAAUAAUUAGAAAGGUCGUCUUUUAAAAUUUAGCAAUGGGAUUUGGUUUAAAGAAAAAUUUUAUGCUUUGAGUUUGCAGGGAACUCGUGCAGUUAUUGAAGAAGUUGAUUGCGAUCUUAAAAUUACUGCUGUUGGGAAGAAAAGAGCUGCUCCCUCUGUUUCGUGUAUGCAUUUUAAAGAAUGCUUGGUUGAAUCGGAAGGGAAGAUUUUGCUUGUUUUUCUUAUUUCUAAAAAUUCUAUCAAAACUGUGGAUUUUGUGGAAGCUUACGAGCUUAAUACUGAUAAAUUGGUUUGGUUCAAGAAGGAGAACAUUGAGAAUAAGACGUUGUUCGUUGGUGCUAAUUGUUGUAUGUUUAUUUUAGUGAUAGUUAUUAUGGUGAUGGUUGGUGGGUAUAUGAGAUGGAAACAGGUUCUGUCUCUCGUCGUAGCAUCUCCAAUCCAGAUAAGUACCAGAAUUUGGUUGAAUAAUUGAACAAUUUCUAUGCUAAAAAUAUCCUCUGAUUAUCUGAUUUGUGCUGUAUUUCUAGACCAUAUUUUUGCCACCAACUAUGUGUUUGUUAAGAUGCUUCAAAGAAGUAUAUGUGUUGUUGUUUAUCAAAAACUUGAAGUGGUGUAAUUUCCUCUUAUGUGUUUGACAAAAACUGUUUGAUAUAUUGAAUUUCUAGGUUGUUUUCCAGAUUUUGAUAGACAGAUUCGAAUGGCAAA